rnacentral:rRNA from 1 species
CCGGGUGAGUAACACGUAGCAGACCUGCCUUUCCGCGGGGGAUAACAGUCCGAAAGGAUUGCUAAUACCGCAUAUUUUCGAGGGAACUAGAUACCCUCGAAGAAACUUCCGGGGCGGAAAGAGGGUGCUGCGGCCCAUCAGGUAGUUGGUGAGGUAACGGCUCACCAAGCCGACGACGGGUAGGGGGCCUGAGAGGGUGACCCCCCACACUGGAACAGGCAUACGGUCCAGACUCCUACGGGAGGCAGCAGUAAGGGAUAUUGGGCAAUGGACGAAAGUCUGACCCAGCAACGCCGCGUGGAGGACGAAGGAUUUCGGUCUGUAAACUCCUUUUGUCGGGGACGAGAUAGGACGGUACCCGACGAAUCAGUCACGGCUAACUACGUGCCAGCAGCCGCGGUAAAACGUAGGUGGCGAGCGUUAUCCGGAUUUACUGGGCGUAAAGGGUGUGCAGGCGGGCUGUUAAGUGGUGCAUGAAAUCUCCGCGCUUAACGUGGAGAGGCUGUGCCAGACUGGCAGUCUCGAGUACGUGAGAGGGUUGUGGAAUUCCGGGUGUAGUGGUGAAAUGCGUAGA